rnacentral:rRNA from 1 species
GACGAACGCUGGCGGCGUGCUUAACACAUGCAAGUCGAACGAAGUGGCGAACGGGUGAGUAACGCGUAAUCAACCUGCCCUUCAGAGGGGGACAACAGUUGGAAACGACUGCUAAUAACGCAUACUGAAGGAGGGGCUUGCGUCUGAUUAGGUAGUUGGAGGGGUAACGGCCCACCAAGGCGAUGAUCAGUAGCCCGGCUGAGAGGAGUGACGGCCACAUUUGGACUGAGACACGGCCAGGAAGCCUACGGGAGGCAGCAGGGGGUAAUCUUCCGCAAUGGACGAAAGUCUGACGGAGCAACGCCGCGUGAGGGAUGACGGCCUUCGGGUUGGAAUGCUCUGUUAAUCGGGACGCGGUACCGGAAUAGAAAGCCACGGCUAACUACGUGCCAGCAGCCGCGGUAAUUC